rnacentral:sRNA from 1 species
GACGGUCCAGGGCAAGAUCCUUGGGCUGUUUUAUUUUGACUGGUCCGAUGAAUUUGAAGGCGCACCACACACUUUUUUUUAUACCUUACGGAGGUAAACAUCAAUGUCGGAAAGAAUUGUCGGCACAGUCAAAUGGUUCAAUGGUAGCAAGGGUUACGGUUUCCUUUCGCAACCCGAUGGCGCGGACGUCUUCGUCCAUUACUCUGCGAUCCAGUCUGACGGAUACCGCUCUCUGCAGGAAGGCCAGAAGGUGGAGUUCUCCAUCGAGAAAGGCCCGAAAGGUCUGCAGGCAGCCAACGUCAUCCCCCUUUAAUAUUAAAUAUUAAAUAUUAAUUGAACUAUGCAACAAAGACCUGCCGGGAUCCGGCAGGUUUUUGAUU